UACGGACGAGUGGCCAAGGUACCUAUUAU
rnacentral:piRNA from 1 species